UUCUGAGUCCAAGAAUAGAAAUGAAGUGAAAAGAGGGUUGUAAAGGUGUGUAAUAUUGUCAUAAGAGACUUCAGAGAGGAUUCGUGAGUAUAUGUAACCUGGAUGCGGUGAAGUGUGAUACGAUAUAGCGAACACGGUUUUGCCGGUUGCAAGAUGGCCGUCAUGGUGGGAGGAGCCUCCUGCUGAGUAAAGAAUCGAUCCCAGGACCUUGUGGACUUGCGCUCUUAACUUGAUACAUAUAUAAAUAUAUACCUUGAGGACCAAGAGGACGAAGGGCGAGGCAGUAGCAUCAAGAUCCGCGGUUUCGUGGGACUUGAUUAAAAAUCAGACUGUUAGUUGAUGAAAUGUUGAGAGUUGAGUCAAAGAGGGGAUGGUACUUGUAGUCAUGAAAAGUGUCAGAUGAGAAGCUAAACAUGAACGAUGACAUACAGGGGUGAGAUGUAUAUCCGUGUGCAGGCGACCGUCAAAACCUAAUUAUCCGGCAUGGAUUUUUAUGGGAAUUAUGUCCAUUGCGAUGACUCUCAUCUCUCAUAAGUCAAGUUUUAGAUUUUUUUUCCACAUUUUGUCCAGCGAAAUCGAAAAAUACCAUCGGAUAAAAUUAAAAAUGAGCAAAAUUGGACAUUUGGAAUUUUGAUAAAAAUAAAUUUAAAACAAAAAAGUGAAAGCUCAUGUCUAUGAAAUGUUUCACUUUUAUUUUCGAGUAUUUAUUGGCUCCAAAAAUUUAUGAUCCUGAA